rnacentral:misc_RNA from 1 species
UUGGUUUGGACUGUUGCUGGCUCUGCGGAGUACGUGCACGUCUAUUCCAUUUUUACAACCACCUGUGCACCUUUUGUAGAUCUGAAUGACUUUCGAGGCAAACUCGGUCAGAGAAAUUGCUGUGUGAACGCCCAGCUAUUUUUCAUUGCUUUCAGAUCUAUGCUUUACUAUACUCCAUAAUAAAGUAUAUGAUUUUAAACACAAAUAACUUAAAACAACUUUCAACAACGGAUCUCUUGGCUCUCGCAUCGAUGAAGAACGCAGCGAAAUGCGAUAAGUAAUGUGAAUUGCAGAAUUCAGUGAAUCAUCGAAUCUUUGAACGCACCUUGCGCUCCUUGGUAUUCCGAGGAGCAUGCCUGUUUGAGUGUCAUGAAAUUCUCAACCUUUCAAGUUUUUCCAUUGGACAGCUUGUCAGGUUGGAUUUUGGGAGUUUGCUGGAUAUACCAAGUCCAGCUCUUCUUAAAUGCAUUAGCAAGAUCAUCGCUUCAAUUAUCUUUAAUAUGAUAAUUAUCUAUAUUAUUGAUGAUGAGCGUUCCCUUAUUUUAAGGAAUGAUCAGGCUUAUAAUAUAUAAUGGUCUUAAGGACAAAUUAAUUGAAUCAU